UUUGGGUGUGCGGUGUCAAAGCCGUGCACUCUUAACGGUCGGACAAGUCCGUCGGAGUGUGGUUAUUGUUGGAAGGGCAACCGACCAAUGAGGCCACCGUAAUCGUUCGGGGUGCCUUUAAUCGGGUGUCUCGGGCGGCCGACAUAGUUUACUUUGAACAAAUUAGAGUGCUCAAAGCAGGUGACUACCGCCUGAAUAGUACAGCAUGGAAUGAUGAAAGAGGACCUCGGUCUGAUUUUGCUGGUCUUUAACGGUCGGGCUUCGGCCCGGCCUAUGCAGACCCGAGGUAAUGGUCAAUAGAGACGGACGAGGGCAUCCGUACUGCGGCGACAGAGGUGAAAUUCUUGGACCGCCGCAAGACGAACGACAGCGGAGGCAUUUGCCAAGAAUGUUUUCCUUGAUCAAGAACGAAAGUUAGAGGUUCGAAGGCGAUCAGAUACCGCCCUAGUUCUAACCAUAAACGAUGCCAACUAGCGAUCCGCCGGUGUUACUCCCAUGACUCGGCGGGCAGCUUCCGGGAAACCAAAGUCUUUGGGUUCCGGGGGAAGUAUGGUUGCAAAGCUGAAACUUAAAGGAAUUGACGGAAGGGCACCACCAGGAGUGGAGCCUGCGGCUUAAUUUGACCCAACACGGGAAACCUCACCAGGCCCGGACACUGGAAGGAUUGACAGAUUGAGAGCUCUUUCUUGAUUCGGUGGGUGGUGGUGCAUGGCCGUUCUUAGUUGGUGGAGCGAUUUGUCUGGUUAAUUCCGAUAACGAACGAGACUCUAGCCUGCUAAGUAGGUGCCGGGUUUUUACAUCUCCUCGCAAGGGGAGAGUGGAGUGUGUGGUUGUCGGGAUCCUGGGCUGUGGUGGUCGUUUAGGCUGCGGGGGGCAACUCUCGAGAAAGGGCGCUUUUAUUAGAUCAAAACCAGUCGAGAGCUUCGGCUCUCGUUAAGUUUGGUGACUCUGGAUAACUUCACGCUGAUCGCACGGUCUUCGCACCGGCGACGAUUCUUUCAAAUGUCUGCCUUAUCAACUGUCGAUGGUAGGUUAUGCGCCUACCAUGGUUGCAACGGGUAACGGGGAAUCGGGGUUCGAUUCCGGAGAGGGAGCCUGAGAAACGGCUACCACAUCCAAGGAAGGCAGCAGGCGCGCAAAUUACCCACUCCCGGCACGGGAGGUAGUGACGAAAAAUAACGAUACGGGACUCUUCCGAGGCCCCGUGA
rnacentral:rRNA from 1 species